CUACUGAAGCUCCAACAAGUAUCAUGAACUGGAUGACUGAAAAUCUACACAGGCGUAUUGUUGAAGAUACAUUCAGCAUGGUGGAACAUCUGCAGGUAAUGGUGGAACAUCUGCAGGUAACGGUGAAACAUCUGCAGGUAACGGUGAAACAUCUGCAGGUAACGGUGGAACAUCUGCAGGUAACGGUGAAACAUCUACAGGUAACGGUGAAACAUCUACAGGUAACGGUGAAACAUCUACAGGUAAUGGCGGAACAUCUGCAGGUAACGGUGAAACAUCUGCAGGUAACGGUGGAACAUCUGCAGGUAACGGUGAAACAUCUACAGGUAACGGUGAAACAUCUACAGGUAAUGGCGGAACAUCUGCAGGUAACGGUGAAACAUCUGCAGGUAACGGUGGAACAUCUGCAGGUAACGGUGGAACAUCUGCAGGUAACGGUGGAACAUCUACAGGUAACGGUGAAACAUCUACAGGUAACGGUGAAACAUCUACAGGUAAUGGCGGAACAUCUGCAAGUAACGGUGGAACAUCUACGGGUAACGGA